GACGAACGCUGGCGGCGUGCUUAACACAUGCAAGUCGAACGGUGAAGCGCCUUCCUUUUUGGUGAGUGUGGAUGAGUGGCGAACGGGUGAGUAACACGUGAGUAACCUGCCCCCUUCUUCUGGAUAACCGCAUGAAAGUGUGGCUAAUACGGGAUAUUCUGGGUCUGUCGCAUGAUGGGUCUGGGAAAGAUAUUGUUUCGGUGGGGGAUGGGCUCGCGGCCUAUCAGCUUGUUGGUGGGGUGAUGGCCUACCAAGGCGGUGACGGGUAGCCGGCCUGAGAGGGUGGACGGUCACACUGGGACUGAGACACGGCCAAGACUACUACGGGAGGCAGCAGUGGGGAAUAUUGCACAGUGGGCGCAAGGCUGAUGCAGCGACGCCGCGUGAGGGAUGGAGGCCUGCGGGUUGUGAACCUCUUUCGCAAGUGAAGCAGGCCUGCCUCGUUUGUGGGUGGGUUGACGGUAGCUGGAUAAGAAGCGCCGGCUAACUACGUG
rnacentral:rRNA from 1 species